CCGGCCUGUUUUUUCCCAUUUGCUAGCGCUGCAGCGCUCACCGGAAUGGAGUGCAAGGGCGAGCCUGGGGAUUACAUGGGAAGUAAAAGUCACGGGGCCGCGUGAUUGAUUAGGUGGGGCGCGUGGAACAAGAUGAGGUUCAAUGGGAUUCCAAGAUUUUUCUAGUUUGAUUGAGGCGAUGGCUGAUCAUGCCACAGGUUUUAUUUAUUUGAGAGACGACAUGAGCUGGAGGGAAGGACAGAGGCAGAGGGAGAAGCAGGCUCCUCACCAAGCAGGGAGCCCGAUGUGGAGCUGGAUUCCAGGACCCUGAGAUCAUGACCUAAGCCGAAGGCAGACGCUUAACGGACUGAGCCACCGCAGACGGAUUUAAAUCCGAUCUCUAUGACCUCCUGGCUGUGUGACUUUAGGUUCCCCUCGGGUCCGCUCCACUCCGACAGCGACGUCACGUCACGUCAAGCGGGGCCUGCACAGGCCUCCGCUGACUCCGUCCUCUUAGCGGCAGUGACCUGCAAGAGCAUCUCCCCCGGGAGUUCCGGAAAGAAGCCUCAGCAUCGAGUUUCCAUUGGUUCCAAAUGCCCCGACCUCCGUCACAUGAUCAGCCAUAACCAAUCGCUGGCCAGCAACACUCUCAUGGGCUGGGCCUGAGUGGAUCACAUGACAUCUCCGGAAGUCAGCUUGCCGAGGACCCAACGGGGGCCAGUUCGGCCGCUUCCGGGGAGAAUCCCGGUUCUGCUCCAAAAGCUGAUGACAGGACAUUGGGCUUGGACCCUCCACGCAGGACAAUUGCGUGUUUUUGUGCCCGGAUUUCAGCUAGCUCCUCACUUCAUAAACGUGUUUGGGUUUAGUUCUACCCUAUUCAUUCUUUGAAAAGGUUUAUAAAUUCAGGAAAGGCGCACCGAGCAUCGACUGCCCGCGGAGCGUGUUCUUGCCGCGGCGGGCGCUGCAGAGCGGCCUCGGCCGGCACCCCUAGCUCCCGACUCCCUCCCUGGGAACUUGAGAAGGAGGCCUUCAGUCUCUGCUGACUCAGCCUGUCACCAGGGACCUCUGACACCCCCUGGCCUU